GACAGAGGGGGCAAGCGUUGUCCGGAAUUAUUGGGCGUAAAGAGCGCGUAGGUGGUAUGUCAAGUCAUUUGUGAAAACUUUAGGCUUAACUUAAAGAUUGCAAGUGAUACUGAUAUACUUGAGCACAGCAGAGGAAAGUGGAAUUCCUGGUGUAGCGGUGAAAUGCGCAGAUAUCAGGAAGAACACCAGUGGCGAAGGCGGCUUUCCGGGCUGUUGCUGACACUGAGGCGCGAAAGCUAGGGGAGCGAACAGG
rnacentral:rRNA from 1 species